rnacentral:tRNA from 1 species
GCCUUCGUGGUGUAGUGGUCAGGACGCUGGGUGCGUGUUCCAGAUGUCCGUGGUUCGAGUCUCGGCGAAGGCA